AAAUCUAAAUUUGUUCAAAAUUAUUUUUUGUAAGACUAAAAAUGAAAUUUUAAUUAUUUAUGUUAAUAUAAAUUUAAAUUUUAAAUAAAUUUUGUAUAUAGGUAUUCAACAAAAACUAAGUGUAUGUUUGGUUGCGCGUUUGCACACCUCAAACUCACGUUUUGGACCCCAAACGUGAUUAUCUUCUUUUGCCAAUAUGUUUGGUUUCUCUUCGACAACGUGAUUUUGACCUGUAAACUCGAUUCUAACAGAAGCUGGAAAUCCUAGCUUUUACGGUGGGCUCAAAAUCAAUUCUACCUUUAAUUUUCGUUAUUCCUUCAUUGCCCUUACCAAAACUCAUUAAUCAACACUUCAUUAUCCAGAUUUGUCACACCUAGCUACUGCAUGUUGUCUUUCCUCUACGAAAUUGACAGCAACACCGAUCCGUCUCCCACCAAAAGUAGAAAUGGUGAUGAUGUUUCUAUUGAGAAUGAGCAAAGUCGAGCAUAAAUUUGGGAUUGUGAAAUUGAAGAACUGUGAGAAUGAAAAUGGACAAUUAAUGAGAAAAAUUGUUAAUUUGAAAGACAGAUUGGUGAAGAAUAGUUGAGGGAAGGAGAAGAAUUGUCUUUGUUGCGUUUGAAAGUUCUAGAUAAAUGGUGAAAAUAAUUGAAGUAAUUUUUAGGUUUUUCGUUUAAGUGUUGGGCUUUUUUAUUUUUAUUACUAUUGGGUUUCCUUUUAUUGGGAAAAUUGGAUUGGAGUUUUUUUUCUCUAUGCAGAUGUGCUCUUGGGAAUAUUGGGUCGGAGGUUUUAUUUGAUAAUUCUAUUAUUUUUUAUAGAUCACUUAUGAUUUAUAUAUAUGAUAGGUCUUUUGGUAAUUUACACAUUUAAAAGUAAUUUUGAUUCAAAUUAUCCAAACAACAUAAAAUGUUAAGAAUCACUUUUACCUUAACGUAUCCAAACAUAAAUCAAUUAUGUUCAACUCACUUUUAACCAAAAUCAAUUCUCUCAAACUCAAUUCUGUCAAACUCAAUUCUCUUCACCGCCAAACCAAACACACACUAACAUACCUAGUAAUUUAUCAUUAAAUUUUCUUUUUAUCUUAUUUAAAAUUGUUUUCUCCCCAUUUUGAUAACGUUCCUUAAUUCUUAUUUGAUAUCACAGCACUGGAAUUCUGCGAAGAUAAUGGGGAUUGCCGCAAUUAUACCUGUACCCCACCUGCAGUUCCAAAUUGCGUAUUCAAUGCUGUGAAAAAUCUAAAGUCGUUUUUUGGACUUGGGAUUUGUCAAUGUGUACCUUAAUUAGUGGUUUGUGAAUGUGUGAAUAAAUCCUAAAAUAAUUUCUUUAAGAAUAAUGUUUAAAAGGGCGUGGUGGUGAGGUGUUGACGUGGAGGUGUUGGUUUUGGCGCCGCCGGUGGGAGGUGAGGUGAGGUGUUUUGGCGCCGUGGUCCUUCUACCAAGUUUAGUGUCAAUCACCACUGAACCAACUAACGAUUGGUGUGGUUAUGGUUUUAUUUCGUUUAAUAAUAUGUUCUAUUUUAUUUUUUUACAAGUUUGAUACUGUAUGGCAAAUAGCAACUAUAAAAAAUUAUUUAUCAUUUUAUGGGAAAAAUAAAAAUUAUUGGACAUUUGCAAGUACAUUUUUUUACUUUGUAGGGGUAACAUCCCAUGCUACUUUAUGCAUGCAUGCGUCACUAAAUAUAAAUAAAGGUUAAUUCUUCGGUACACAUAUUUAAUGAUUGAAAUGGUUAUGGAAAUACAGUAAGAGUAGGUACCUGGGAAGGUGUUGUGUGGACUGAGAAGCCAUUAAUUAUGUGUUUGUAGCUGUGGAGUUUAUUGUAACUUCCAUUCUUCAAAGUGCUUUAUAGAAGCGUAUUGUGAGAUGCCAAUAAAUGUUUUUCACGUGCCUUCGAAGCUUCUCUAUUUAAUUAGACACACAAAAAAUGUAAAUUAAGAUAUAGGGUCAAAAUUGUUGAUUGAUCUUGGGCUUAUUUAUUGCCCUAUUUGUAAUUAAAAAAAAAUUGUUGAUUGAAGACCACUUGAAACAAAUUUCCAAAAAAACAAAAUAUAUGUCUUAAAUAAGCAUCAAUACUAAAUAAAAUUUCAUUUGGUUGAA
rnacentral:lncRNA from 1 species